rnacentral:tRNA from 1 species
CGGGGUGUGGCGCAGGGGAAGCGCGCUCGGUUCGGGUCCGAGAGGUCGUGGGUUCGACCCCCACCUCCCCGA